AGAAAGUUAGUCUAACUAAGACAGUUGAUUUCGACUCAACAGAUUAUAGCUACAACCCUAUAACUUUCUU
rnacentral:tRNA from 3 species